GAUGAACGCUGGCGGCGUGCCUAAUACAUGCAAGUCGAGCGGACCAAAGAGAGCUUGCUCUCUGAGGUUAGCGGCGGACGGGUGAGUAACACGUGGGUAACCUGCCUGUAAGACGGGGAUAACUUCGGGAAACCGAAGCUAAUACCGGAUGACAAAGAGAACCGCCUGUUUCUUUUUUGAAAGUCGGCCUUGUGCUGACGCUUACAGAUGGGCACGCGGCGCAUUAGCUAGUUGGUGAGGUAACGGCUCACCAAGGCGACGAUGCGUAGCCGACCUGAGAGGGUGAUCGGCCACACUGGAACUGAGACACGGCCCAGACGCCUACGGGAGGCGGCAGUAGGGAAUCUUCGGCAAUGGACGAAAGUCUGACCGAGCAACGCCGCGUGAGCGAUGAAGGCCUUCGGGUCGUAAAGCUCUGUUGUCAGAGAAGAACAAGUACCGGAGUAACUGCCGGUACCUUGACGGUACCUGACCAGAAAGCCACGGCUAACUACGUGCCAGCCGCCGCCGUAA
rnacentral:rRNA from 1 species